GAUGAACGCUGGCGGCGUGCUUAACACAUGCAAGUCGAACGGAAAGGCUCCUGCUUGCAGCGGUUCUCGAGUGCCGAACGGGUGCGUAACACGUGUGUGACCUGCCCUGCACUUCGGGGUAAGCCUAGGAAACUGGGUCUAAUAUCGUAUAGGACCCCAUCUUCGGUUGUGUGCUGGAGAGCUUUUCGGUUUGGGCUGAGCUCUGGGCCUAUCUGCUUUUUGGUGGGGUACUGGCCUACCAAGCCGUCGACGGGUAGCCGGCCUGUGAGGGUGGACGGGGACAUGGGGACUGAGAGACGGCCCAGAGUGGUACGGGAGGCAGUAGUGGGGAAUAUUGCACAAUGGGCGCAAGCCGGAUGAAGCGACGCCGCGGGGGUGAAGACGGCCUGCGGGUUGUAAACACCUGUAGCUAGGGACGAAGCGCAAGUGACGGUACCUGGAGAAGAAGCACCGGCUAACUACGUG
rnacentral:rRNA from 1 species